rnacentral:rRNA from 1 species
AUUGAACGCUGGCGGCAGGCCUAACACAUGCAAGUCGAGCGAGCGGCGGACGGGUGUGUAAUGUCUGGGAAACUGUCCGAUGGAGGGGGAUAACCACUGGAAACGGUAGAGAAUACCGCACACCAUCAGAGGUGUCCAGAUGGGAUUAGCUAGUGGGUGGGGUAACGGCUAACCUCGGCGACGAUACCUAGCUGGUCUGAGAGGAUGACCAGCCACACUGGAACUGGGACACGGUCCAGACUCCUACGGGAGGCAGCAGUGGGGAAUAUUGCACAAUGGGCGCAAGCCUGAUGCAGCCAUGCCGCGUGUAUGAAGAAGGCCUUCGGGUUGUAAAGCACUUUCAGCGGGGAGGCGUUACCCGCAGAAGAAGCACCGGCUAACUCCGUGCCAGCAGCCGCGGUAAUUC